UAAUUCCAGUAGGCCGGCGCGCAGUUGGCGUUUGGCGUCUGCGGUACCAGGUGAUGUAACGAUUCCCACAGCGGCGUCAGAUA
rnacentral:sRNA from 1 species